rnacentral:rRNA from 1 species
UACAGAGGGUGCGAGCGUUAAUCGGAAUUACUGGGCGUAAAGGGCGCGUAGGCGGUAACAAGAGUGUGAUGUGAAAGCCCCGGGCUUAACCUGGGAAGUGCAUCGCAAACGCUGUUACUGGAGUAUAUGAGAGGGUGGUGGAAUUUCCGGUGUAGCGGUGAAAUGCGUAGAGAUCGGAAGGAAGGUCGAUGGCGAAGGCAGCCACCUGGCAUAAUACUGACGCUGAGGCGCGAGAGCGUGGGGAGCGAACAGG